GGCCCCAUCGUCUAGUGGUUAGGACAUCUGGUUUUCAUCCAGAAAACAGGGGUUCGAUUCCCCUUGGGGCUACGA
rnacentral:tRNA from 1 species